AUGUUAGGAUCACAAAAAAGGGUUGUACCUAGAUUGCGAAGAUGGCAACACAAAGCUCGGUACCACACUGGAAUUGCUGCAGUGGAAGGAGACAAUGGUGUAUCGGACAACGGAUUUGAGAAGCUACUGAAAAUAUUGAAGAAGAAGCUUCCAAAGGAUAACGAAUGGCCUAACAGUACGUACGGAGCAAAGAAGGUUCUAUGCCCUCUAGGGUUGGAGGUGCAAAAGAUACAUGCAUGCCCUAAUGACUGCAUCCUCUACCACGGUGCGUACGAGGAUUUGAACGCAUGCCCAGUAUGCGGUGCAUUGUGGUAUAAGAUCAGACGAGAUGACCCUGGUGAUGUUGAGGGCGAGCGGCCCAGGAAGAGGGUUUCUGCCAAGGUGAUGUGGUAUGCUCCUAUAAUACCACGGUUGAAACGUCUAUUCAGAAACAAAGAGCAUGCCAAGUUGAUGCGAUGGCACAAAGAGGACCGUAAGAAAGACGGGAAGUUGAGAGCACCCGCUGACGGGUCGCAGUGGAGAAAAAUCGAGAGAAAGUGGGGGGACUUUGCAGGUGACGCAAGGAACGUAUGGUUUAGUUUAAGCGCGGAUGGCAUUAAUCCUUUUGGGGAGCAGAGCAGCGAUCAUAGCACCUGGCCCGUGACUCUAUGUAUCUAUAACCUUCCUCCUUGGUUGUGCAUGAAGCGGAAGUUCAUUAUGAUGCCAGUUCUCAUCCAAGGCCCUAAGCAACCUGGCAACGACAUUGAUGUGUACCUAAGGCCAUUAGUUGAAGAACUUUUACAGCUGUGGAAUGGAAAAGGUGUACAUGUGUGGGAUGAGCAAGAGCAGCAGGAAUUUGACCUACAUGCGUUGCUGUUUGUAACCAUCAAUGAUUGGCCUGCUCUCAGUAACCUUUCAGGACAGACAAACAAGGGAUAUCACACAUGCACGCACUGUUUAGAUGACAUCGAAAGUAUAUAUUUGGACAUAUGCAGGAAGAAUGUGUACCUGGGGCAUCGUCGAUUUCUUCCGACCAACCAUCAAUGUCGAAAGAAAGGCAAGCAUUUCAAAGAUGAGGCAGAUCAUCGGAAGAAGCCCGCCGUCCGUACUGGUGAUCACAUACUUGCUAUGUUCAAUGAUUUACAAGUAAUCUUUGAAAAGGGUCCCAGCGGACUAUCUGUUCUGAAUGACGUUGAGGGACGCGCACCCAUGUGGAAGAAGAAAUCUAUAUUUUGGGACCUACCCUAUUGGAAAGACCUAGAGGCCCGCUCUACAAUCGACGUGAUGCACAUGACGAAGAAUCUUUGCAUGAACCUGCUACACUUCUUGGGCGUGUAUGGGAAGAAAAAAGAUACACCGGAGGCAUGGGAGGACCAGCAACGUAUGCACGAAAAAGACUGCAUGCCUCCAAAGCAGUAUGAAGGUCCUGCCAGCUACGCUCUUACCAAAGAAGAGAGGGAAACCUUAUUUGAAUGCCUGCUCAGUAUGAAGGUCCCGUCUGGCUUCUCGUCGAAUAUAAAGGGAAUAAUAAAUAUGGCUGAGAAAAAGUUCCAGAACCUAAAGUCUCAUGACUGCCACGUGAUUAUGACACAACUGCUUUCGAUUGCAUUGAGGGGCUUCUACCAAAAAACGUUCGACUAG
rnacentral:rRNA from 1 species